GACGAACGCUGGCGGCGUACUUAACACAUGCAAGUCGAACGGACAGACAGAGAGCUUGCUCUCUUGAAGUUAGUGGCGAACGGGUGAGUAACGCGUAAUCAACCUGCCCUUCAGAGGGGGAUAACAACGGGAAACCGUUGCUAAUACCGCGUACGAUUCAUGAACGGCAUCGUUUAUGAAUGAAAGGUGGCCUCUAUGUAUAAGCUAUCGCUGAAGGAGGGGAUUGCGUCUGAUUAGCUAGUUGGAGGGGUAACGGCCCACCAAGGCAAUGAUCAGUAGCCGGUCUGAGAGGAUGAACGGCCACAUUGGGACUGAGACACGGCCCAAACUCCUACGGGAGGCAGCAGUGGGGAAUCUUCCGCAAUGGACGAAAGUCUGACGGAGCAACGUCGCGUGAGUGAUGAAGGUCUUCGGAUUGUAAAGCUCUGUUAAUCGGGACGAAAGAGUUCUGCGUGAAUAAUGCAGAAAAGUGACGGUACCGGAAUAGAAAGCCACGGCUAACUACGUGCCAGCAGCCGCCGUAA
rnacentral:rRNA from 1 species